AUUGAACGCUGGCGGCAGGCCUAACACAUGCAAGUCGAACGGUAACAGGAAGCAGCUUGCUGCUUUGCUGACGAGUGGCGGACGGGUGAGUAAUGUCUGGGAAACUGCCCGAUGGAGGGGGAUAACUACUGGAAACGGUAGCUAAUACCGCAUAACGUCGCAAGCCCAAAGAGGGGGACCUUAGGGCCUCUUGCCAUCGGAUGUGCCCAGAUGGGAUUAGCUAGUAGGUGGGGUAACGGCUCACCUAGGCGACGAUCCCUAGCUGGUCUGAGAGGAUGACCAGCCACACUGGAACUGAGACACGGUCCAGACUCCUACGGGAGGCAGCAGUGGGGAAUAUUGCACAACGGGCGCAAGCCUGAUGCAGCCAUGCCGCGUGUAUGAAGAAGGCCUUCGGGUUGUAAAGUACUUUCAGCGGGGAGGAAGGGAGUAAAGUUAAUACCUUUGCUCAUUGACGUUACCCGCAGAAGAAGCACCGGCUAACUCCGUG
rnacentral:rRNA from 1 species